rnacentral:rRNA from 1 species
UACGGAGGGGGCAAGCGUUGUCCGGACUUACUGGGCGUAAAGGGCGCGUAGGCGGCCCGUCAAGUCCCGUGUGAAAGCCCCCGGCUCAACCGGGGAACGGCGCGGGAAACUAGCAGGCUUGAGUUCGGGAGAGGGAAGCGGAAUUCCGGGUGUAGCGGUGAAAUGCGCAGAUAUCAGGAGGAACACCGGUGGCGAAGGCGGAUCUCUGGGCCUUACCUGACGCUGAGGAGCGAAAGCAUGGGGAGCAAACAGG